rnacentral:rRNA from 1 species
AUUGAACGCUGGCGGCAUGCCUUACACAUGCAAGUCGAACGGCAGCACGGGUGCUUGCACCUGGUGGCGAGUGGCGAACGGGUGAGUAAUACAUCGGAACAUGUCCUGUAGUGGGGGAUAGCCCGGCGAAAGCCGGAUUAAUACCGCAUACGAUCUACGGAUGAAAGCGGGGGACCUUCGGGCCUCGCGCUAUAGGGUUGGCCGAUGGCUGAUUAGCUAGUUGGUGGGGUAAAGGCCUACCAAGGCGACGAUCAGUAGCUGGUCUGAGAGGACGACCAGCCACACUGGGACUGAGACACGGCCCAGACUCCUACGGGAGGCAGCAGUGGGGAAUUUUGGACAGUGGGCGAAAGCCUGAUCCAGCAAUGCCGCGUGUGUGAAGAAGGCCUUCGGGUUGUAAAGCACUUUUGUCCGGAAAGAAAUCCUUGGCCCUAAGACGGUCGGGGGAUGACGGUACCGGAAGAAUAAGCACCGGCUAACUACGU